UUUAAGCACUCACAGAUUUCUUCUGGGACAGUAGUAGGAACCAGCAGACGAAGCGUAAUAACUACAAGUCUUAAACGCAGAAAGACCAAGAACACCUGGCUCAAGGAAAAGACAGGAAAGUUAUGGCCCUCCUUUGCCAUAAAGGAUGCAACUUCUAAGCAUUAACUCGAAGCCCAAGGAAGAACAGAUCUCAUGAGCAAGAGAUGGAAAAUGAUCCUACCUACGCUUGGAAUAAGAUUUAAAUUAGCAGAGAAACUGGACUUAUUAUCUUCUUGGCAUGGCACUGCUUUCCAAUUCUAUUACCUGGUGUUAUAAGAGGUAAAAAGAUAUGGAAAAUGUACAGAACGUGAACAGAACUUUACGAGUAUUCAUCAAGAGUAUGAAGAUACAUCGUUUAUAAAAACACCACCAUGGUCAAAAGACAUUAGCCAGUACAAAACUAAGGGUACUACAGGUGUCAAUACCUAUGUGUAGUAAUUCAGUACCUUGCAUUAUUCUAUAGCCAUCGAUUCUGCUCUGUAUCAUUCUGUAUUCAUCGAUUUUCUACAUUUUCAUAAGCCAUAAAUAAAAAUUUGUUUCCCUUUUUCAUGCCUGUUCUCCCAAAAACAACCUUCUACUGAUGGUCGUAGAUUAUUCAGGAAGAACAAGAAAAAUAAUGGGAACUAAAAUAAGUAGGUAAGGAGUAUUUUUCUCUAUCCUAAACAUUCCAUCUGUGUAACUAUAUUUAUGGUAUGUAAAACACCUGUUUUUAUUUCCAAGGGACCAGUCUGGUUCUAAAGUCGCAGCUGGUGAUAGUCUGUGAGGGUGUUCAGAUACUAUUUCUCGAGCUACGCAGAUGGCAAUGAAAAGCAACUUCAUAAUUUAUUUCUUACCACCAUCCAAGAAUUUGGACAGACUCCUGGGGACAGAACUGGCAGUACUUCAGCUUAAACGGUGCAGGACAUGUGUUCCGUACGUAUGCAUCAGGGAUAAGCGUAAGCAUGUACCAGUCUAAGGGACCAAACACCAAGGAUGAUAAUCUCAUCAUCAUAAUGGUCAGUAAUCACAGAAGUCAAUACCCAGGACUAAACUGCAGAUGGGCGAGAACAGUAAUUUCGAAGAGCACCACUGACCUAAACUUUCCGACGUAAAUGGGCUUCACUAGGUCCCCCUCAGAACAAGCAAUGGCAAAGAAGGCUUACUCCAGUUUGUAUAACGAAGGGAAAGUGGUACUAAAUUAAGGUGUUAAUGAAUUGUACUAAAAAGCUGAGAUGUCCAGAUCGAGUGACAGCUCGGGAUAAAAGCUGGGGUUACCAGAAAACAAAACUGUCCAACUAUUGGGAACAGUGAUUUGGACAGUUCCUUAUAUAAAGGACAAUAGUGACCUCUAAAAGGAGGGCCUCUCUUGCGGAGUCAGCAAGUCAGGUAAAAUCACCUUGGAAGACGCAAACAGUCCUCAUGACCUACACCAGGAACAAACUGGUUGAUAAAUCAACUCUUCCAACUGUGGGCAGCUAGAAUGCUCAUCUUCAGGGUGUGUACGAUUACUGAAACACUGGACACGUGUACCGUUGGUGAAAUUGAUGAAAACGAGAGAAAACCCUAAAACUGAGUACGAGGGAGUAAGAAUAUAAAAGUAAAGAAACACCCUUAAAUUUAUUAGCACUUCUGACCUGAUUAGCCUAAGUGAACCAAUCCAAUUUUCAACAAGUUUAAUAGUAUGUGUGUAUUGUGUCUGCUUCAUACAGCGCUUAAAGCAUUUGAGAAAAUCAGAUACAGCAGACUGUGGUUUGAAUUAAACAGAGAAAAAUUCAUUAGGUGUGCAAUCGAUGUUUAAAUGCCGAUAGAAAUCUAAUCUGUUUAAUUAAUAAGCUUUUGCUUUAUUGAUUAUAUAAAUAAAAUAUGGAUAUUUAGAAGAACGCUAUAGAGGUAAAUUAGGUAUCAAAGUAAAAACAGUGGUCUAUCACAAUUAAAAAGGACAGACGCAUCAAUAUCUCACAUUGUUUAUAGCUAGUAGAAAUGGAUAAGAUUAAAACUAAA